rnacentral:lncRNA from 1 species
UAUGGUUCAGUUAUAUCAAAAUAGACAUUGUUAAAACUUUAUUAAACAAAAAGUCAAUUGUUUUACAAACUGGUGAAGACGUUGAAGACGCUUUUAAUUGAAACUACAAUGACUAGUGCAUGCAAGACAAAAGAACUUGUUCUGGGUUUCGAGAACAUCUGUAUGUUCCUGCUUUAAUAAUAUAAAGUUUAUUUUCGCCAAAUACUUUAGUCUUAAAACCAAG